rnacentral:rRNA from 1 species
UACAGAGGGUGCAAGCGUUGUUCGGAAUUAUUGGGCGUAAAGGGCGCGUAGGCGGUGCCACAAGUCACCUGUGAAAUCUCCGGGCUUAACUCGGAGCCUGCAGGCGAAACUGUGGUGCUGGAGUGUGGGAGAGGUGCGUGGAAUUCCUGGUGUAGCGGUGAAAUGCGCAGAUAUCAGGAAGAACACCCGUGGCUAAGGCGGCUCUCUAGUACGGUACUGACGCUGAGACGCGAAAGCGUGGGGGAGCGAACAGG